rnacentral:rRNA from 1 species
UAAUACGGCCAUAUCACGCUGGGAGCACCGGUUCUCGUCCGAUCACCGAAGUUAAGCAACGUCGAGCCUAGUGAGUACUUAGAUGGGUGACCGCUUGGGAAACCUAGGUGCUGUAAGCA